AAAAAAACAUUCGGUGUUCGGACCGUCGGUCUACCGAGCAAUAUCACCCGCUCGGUGGAAGAUCUUCCUUUCGUCGUUAACU
rnacentral:pre_miRNA from 1 species